rnacentral:rRNA from 1 species
UACGUAGGUGGCAAGCGUUGUCCGGAUUUACUGGGCGUAAAGAGUAUGUAGGCGGAUGUUUAAGUAGAAAGUGAAAGGUUGGAGCUUAACUCCAACACUGCUUCCUAUACUGGAUAUCUUGAGUGCCGGAGAGGAAAGCGGAACGACACGUGUAGCGGUGAAAUGCGUUGAUAUGUGUCGGAACACCAAUGGCGAAGGCAGCUUUCUGGACGGAGCCGCAAGGCUUAAACUGACGCUGAGAUACGAAAGCCGAGGGAGCGAACAGG